UGUUUCGGCAAGGGGGUCAUCCCGACUUACCAACCCGAUGCAAACUGCGAAUACCGGAGAAUGUUAUCACGGGAGACACACGGCGGGUGCUAACGUCCGUCGUGAAGAGGGAAACAACCCAGACCGCCAGCUAAGGUCCCAAAGUCAUGGUUAAGUGGGAAACGAUGUGGGAAGGCCCAGACAGCCAGGAUGUUGGCUUAGAAGCAGCCAUCAUUUAAAGAAAGCGUAAUAGCUCACUGGUCGAGUCGGCCUGCGCGGAAGAUGUAACGGGGCUAAACCAUGCACCGAAGCUGCGGCAGCGACACUAUGUGUUGUUGGGUAGGGGAGCGUUCUGUAAGCCUGUGAAGGUGUGCUGUGAGGCAUGCUGGAGGUAUCAGAAGUGCGAAUGCUGACAUAAGUAACGAUAAAGCGGGUGAAAAGCCCGCUCGCCGGAAGACCAAGGGUUCCUGUCCAACGUUAAUCGGGGCAGGGUGAGUCGACCCCUAAGGCGAGGCCGAAAGGCGUAGUCGAUGGGAAACAGGUUAAUAUUCCUGUACUUGGUGUUACUGCGAAGGGG
rnacentral:rRNA from 1 species